UAUGGUUUAUACGAUACACGGUGUUCGACGAUAAAGGUGACAUAAAUUAUUUCAAAUGCAGGACCUGAAUUUCAUUUGGAUUUUUGCUGUAAUGGCCAUAGGUCAUCGCCCGUGCGCCGUCGGCGCAUCGUAAAUUUUAAUCCAGGUCAAUAAGACUCGAAGAAAAAAUAGAAGAGCCAAAGUAUACCCUAGCUGCGCCCCCCCCCCCCAAAUGGGCCCUUGUCUUCAAAUGUCUUGGAAUCAUGCAUUAGCUCUCUAUUAUUUUUACUGAAUUAUGCAUAAUACAAAUAGCCAAUAAUACCAUUUUUAUUCUGUCCAGUGCAGCAGUUUCUAUAUACAAUGUGAUAAUGUGAUACUUUUUCUAAUAAAUUGAUAAAUGGUCAAUGGACAAUGGUAAUUGGCAAGUGAUGGUAAAUUGAUAUAGUUGUGAAAUGUUGAGUUGUACUGUACGUCCACAAUUGUUUUCAAUGAAAUGCGACUAACUUCUUUGAUUUGGCAAGCAGUACUGCAAGAUAGCCAAGAUGAAAGAAAUUAUACGUUUUUCUUUCGAGUAAAUAAAAUCAUGUAAAAUUAUAUUAUAGUAUAUAUACAUAUAAGCUUAAAAAGUUGAAAACAAAACAUUUAUACUAUAAAUUCUCUUAGAUAUAGUUAAUUAGAUUGUACUAUUAUGCAUUUUUAAUGCUUUUAAA